UGUUAAGCCGGCGAUCAACUAUAUUACAAGAUACAACAAACCAGACACUAGGAGGGAAAUCACGCUUAUGGAUAUAAGUGGAAUGCCAAUGCGUGCAAGUUUAUUUGGAGAUUUGGCUACAAAUGAAGGAUCAAUUCUUGAAGCAGAAAUCAAAUAUAAGCCUGUAAUAGCAUUAUCAGAUUUUAAAAUCUCUAUAUAUCAAGGAGAUACAAGCAUAUCGUCGCAAAUUAUUUUAACAUUAUGUAUCAACCCAAAAAUAGAACUAGCUAG